CCAAACUUGGUCAUUUAGAGGAAGUAAAAGUCGUAACAAGGUUUCCGUAGGUGAACCUGCGGAAGGAUCAUUUUUGAAUCUGGUCUCAGCGCUUAGCUGCGCGGGACUAAACCUUCACACUUGUUUAUUGUAUUACUUUCAGUCGAGCGUGAGCUCGGCUGUAACACAUAACUCUAAGAUUUAAUCUUAACUCAACCCUAGUCAUGAAAUUUUACUUAAAAUAAAAUAUUCAAAACUUUCAACAACGGAUCUCUUGGUUCUCGCAUCGAUGAAGAACGCAGC
rnacentral:misc_RNA from 1 species